CCUUUACCAGCUUUCAGCUGAGAAGUGAAAGAAAGCAAUCUUGGAUGCUUCACCAACUGUUCGCAAUCCAAAUUUAACAAGACCAAAAGUUGAGGUCUCCAGUUUUUGGUGUGAGGAGGACCAUCUUCAACACGAAGCAAAGCAUAGCGAGCUGCAUUCAAAGAGAGUCCUCGUAUUCCAUCACCCCACUCUUUUUCCGCUC
rnacentral:lncRNA from 1 species